GACUCUGGUAAGUCUUGGCUACAUAGAACUAUUAUAAAGUUAGGUCGUAGUCAGACAUUCAAUAGACAGAGUAACCCUGAGAUAUGAUUCUUUAUCAUGAUGAACAACCUGGGCCCGGUUUCCACGAUGGAAUUUAGGCGUAACGUUGGGAACGCAUGAUAAGUGAGCAAACGAUAAUUAACAGAAUACAAAUUGGAGUUGAGCUAUUUUACAAAUAAAAUGGUGCGUAAGCUCGUUUACAUGGGUUUACCCUCCACUACAUCCCCGUUGAUGCGGUGUGCAGCGUAGAGUGCAUAGUCAUUUAUUUUUAUUUCACUUAUAUUUAACUCGGCAAGUCAGAACAAAUUCUUAUUAACAUUGACGACCUACCCCGGCCAAACCUUGACGACGCUGGGCCAAUUGUGCUCCACCCUAUGGGACUCCCAAUCAUGCAGCCUGGAUUCUAACCAGGUCCCGCAGUGACGCAGGAGGCGGGACUCUGCACCACUCGGGAGGCGGCUGAGCUGAAACAGAAAGUCAAGUUGUUAUUUUGUACAGGAUCCAUGGUGAGACAACAGAGCAGAAAACACUACAUGGAGAUGACUGACAAAUAGGUAAGUAUUUAUGAAUGUGUCUGAGUGCUGCUGAGUCAUUCUUCUGUCUUUCAGGUUAAUAAUCUAGAAUAAAGUAGAGGGGACAUGUGGAAUACAGUAAACUAGUGUCUGAGUGCUGCUGAGUCAUUCCAUCCAUACGGUGCCUCUUCUGUCUUUCAGGUUAAUAAUCUAGAAUAAAGUAGAGGGAACAUGUGGAAUACAGAACUAGUGUCUGAGUGCUGCUGAGUCAUUCCAUCCAGUCAUUCUGUCUUUCAGGUUAAUAAUCUAGAAUAAAGUAGAGGAACAUGUGGAAUACAGUAAACUAGUGUCUGAGUGCUGCCGAGUCAUUCCUACCAUGUGGUGCCUUUUCUGUCCCCAGGAAAUAUCAGUUCUUAUUUAGUGAAAGCUGAAAUAAAUCAUUCUCUCUACUAUUAUUCUGACAUAUCACAUUCUUUAAAAUAAAGUGGUGAUCCUAACUGACCUAAAACAAGGACUUUUUUUUACGAGGAUUCAAUUUCAGGAAUUGUGAAAAACUGAGUUUAAAUGUAUUUGGCUCAGGUGUAUGUACACUUCCGACUUCAACUGUAUGUACGUGUAUAUAUUAAUUUACUGCUCUGGGGAUGUAAUUAUUGUUUACAUCACCUUAUUUCUAUUAUGUUUUGAUUUGAUUCUUCAAUUUGUUUUACUAUUUAUGUGAUGCGCAAAGCAGAGAACAGAGGAAUUAUCAUUUAAUUUCCACAGUGAAUUAUUGUAAUGUUUGUUUAUGUGUCAAUUAACCACAUAAGGGAAGGGUUGCCAGUUGGCGAUUUGACACAAUAAUAAAGUUUUCAUUCACUCA